rnacentral:rRNA from 1 species
AGACCCGAAACCCGGUGAUCUAGCCAUGGGCAGGUUGAAGGUUGGGUAACACUAACUGGAGGACCGAACCGACUAAUGUUGAAAAAUUAGCGGAUGACCUGUGGCUGGGGGUGAAAGGCCAAUCAAACCGGGAGAUAGCUGGUUCUCCCCGAAAGCUAUUUAGGUAGCGCCUCGUGAAUUCAUCUCCGGGGGUAGAGCACUGUUUCGGCUAGGGGGCCAUCCCGGCUUACCAACCCGAUGCAAACUGCGAAUACCGGAGAAUGUUAUCACGGGAGACACACGGCGGGUGCUAACGUCCGUCGUGAAGAGGGAAACAACCCAGACCGCCAGCUAAGGUCCCAAAGUCAUGGUUAAGUGGGAAACGAUGUGGGAAGGCCCAGACAGCCAGGAUGUUGGCUUAGAAGCAGCCAUCAUUUAAAGAAAGCGUAAUAGCUCACUGGUCGAGUCGGCCUGCGCGGAAGAUGUAACGGGGCUAAACCAUGCACCGAAGCUGCGGCAGCGACGCUGAUGCGUUGUUGGGUAGGGGAGCGUUCUGUAAGCCUGCGAAGGUGUGUCGUGAGGCAUGCUGGAGGUAUCAGAAGUGCGAAUGCUGACAUAAGUAACGAUAAAGCGGGUGAAAAGCCCGCUCGCCGGAAGACCAAGGGUUCCUGUCCAACGUUAAUCGGGGCAGGGUGAGUCGACCCCUAAGGCGAGGCCGAAAGGCGUAGUCGAUGGGAAACGGGUUAAUAUUCCCGUACUUGGUGUUACUGCGAAGGGGGGACGGAGAAGGCUAUGUUGGCCGGGCGACGGUUGUCCCGGUUUAAGCGUGUAGGUGUGUGUUCCAGGUAAAUCCGGUUCACUUUAACACUGAGGCGUGAUGACGAGGCACUACGGUGCUGAAGCAACAAAUGCCCUGCUUCCAGGAAAAGCCUCUAAGCAUCAGGUAACAUCAAAUCGUACCCCAAACCGACACAGGUGGUCAGGUAGAGAAUACCAAGGCGCUUGAGAGAACUCGGGUGAAGGAACUAGGCAAAAUGGUGCCGUAACUUCGGGAGAAGGCACGCUGACACGUAGGUGAAGUGAUUUACUCAUGGAGCUGAAGUCAGUCGAAGAUACCAGCUGGCUGCAACUGUUUAUUAAAAACACAGCACUGUGCAAACACGAAAGUGGACGUAUACGGUGUGACGCCUGCCCGGUGCCGGAAGGUUAAUUGAUGGGGUCAGCGCAAGCGAAGCUCCUGAUCGAAGCCCCGGUAAACGGCGGCCGUAACUAUAACGGUCCUAAGGUAGCGAAAUUCCUUGUCGGGUAAGUUCCGACCUGCACGAAUGGCGUAAUGAUGGCCAGGCUGUCUCCACCCGAGACUCAGUGAAAUUGAACUCGCUGUGAAGAUGCAGUGUACCCGCGGCAAGACGGAAAGACCCCGUGAACCUUUACUAUAGCUUGACACUGAACAUUGAGCCUUGAUGUGUAGGAUAGGUGGGAGGCUUUGAAGUGUGGACGCCAGUCUGCAUGGAGCCGACCUUGAAAUACCACCCUUUAAUGUUUGAUGUUCUAACGUGGACCCGUGAUCCGGGUUGCGGACAGUGUCUGGUGGGUAGUUUGACUGGGGCGGUCUCCUCCUAAAGAGUAACGGAGGAGCACGAAGGUUGGCUAAUCCUGGUCGGACAUCAGGAGGUUAGUGCAAUGGCAUAAGCCAGCUUGACUGCGAGCGUGACGGCGCGAGCAGGUGCGAAAGCAGGUCAUAGUGAUCCGGUGGUUCUGAAUGGAAGGGCCAUCGCUCAACGGAUAAAAGGUACUCCGGGGAUAACAGGCUGAUACCGCCCAAGAGUUCAUAUCGACGGCGGUGUUUGGCACCUCGAUGUCGGCUCAUCACAUCCUGGGGCUGAAGUAGGUCCCAAGGGUAUGGCUGUUCGCCAUUUAAAGUGGUACGCGAGCUGGGUUUAGAACGUCGUGAGACAGUUCGGUCCCUAUCUGCCGUGGGCGCUGGAGAACUGAGGGGGGCUGCUCCUAGUACGAGAGGACCGGAGUGGACGCAUCACUGGUGUUCGGGUUGUCAUGCCAAUGGCACUGCCCGGUAGCUAAAUGCGGAAGAGAUAAGUGCUGAAAGCAUCUAAGCACGAAACUUGCCCCGAGAUGAGUUCUCCCUGAGACUUAGAGUCUCCUGAAGGAACGUUGAAGACGACGACGUUGAUAGGCCGGGUGUGUAAGCGCAGCGAUGCGUUGAGCUAACCGGUACUAAUGAACCGUGAGGCUUAACCUU